GCUAGUUCCGUUAGGCUAAGUUGAUCUUGCUAGCGAUGGAAACCAUGAUUAACGACGCCGUAAACCAUUUCGCAAGCGGCAAUGCAUCAGGUGAAGAGGAAGAGAACAGCCCGAAGACAUGUCAGGACAGCGACAGCAUGGAGAAACACAAGCGAAAGAAACACAAACAUCAUAGCAAGCAUAGAAAACACAAAUAUUCAUCUUUGGAAGAGAAGGAACACAGACACAAGCACAAACGCAAGCAUAAAAAGCGCAAACACAGAGACUCCUCCAGGAUGGAUGAUGGGGACGCGGAGGCUGCGGAGGAAAUAGUGUCACCAAAAAGAUCCCGAUUGGAUGACCUGGCAGCCCUGGAGGAUUUGGAAAAGCAACGGGCGCUGAUCCAAGCAGAGCUCGAUAAUGAACUGAUGGAGGGAAGGGUGCACUCAGGAAUGGGCCUGAUACUGCAGGGUUAUAACUCGGGUUCGGAUGAGGAUGCAGAGGUGCAGGAGGCGUGCAAUGGGGAAGAGCAGGAGGGGAGUCUAGAACAGAUGUAUAUGGCUGGGGCUAAGGAAGCACAAUCAGAUGUUAUCGCUGCAGAGCAAAGUCAGCACAGCUCUCUGGACGAUGAAAAAGUUGGACCUUGGCGCCGUAGCAGAAGCAAAUCUAAAGAGAAAACAAUCAACCAACGUAAAAUGGAUAGAAAAAAGAAUAGAACUGUGUCAGAUUCGGAUAGCAAGGACAGAAGUCAAGGUCCACACACAUCUUUAGAGAAGAAACCAUCCCAUAACAUUCAGCAGCCCAAAGAUGACAGUCCAAGGUCCAGAUCUCCUGCAAUAUCUAGGAAACAGAACAAUACACAAAAGGAUUUGCAUUUAGUCUCCUUAGAGGCUGAACAGGGAAGUAAAAAAGACCCUUCUUCAUCAUUUCGACAAUCUGGGACCAGAAGUACAGAUGACCCCAAAUCAUCAGAGAAGGCAAGACGCUCCAGAUCAAAAGACAGGCAUAGGAGGUUACCUGAGCUUGACCGCAAACGGGACAGGGACGAGACAUCAGUCAGGUCUCCUUGUAAGGACGUCUCGUCAGGGAAGGAGAACCGAUCUCCCCACAGAAGGCACACCCGCAGUCCAGUAUGGGAUAGAUCUUCUCGCAGGAGCAGGGAACGCCGUUCUCCUCAACAGCCUUCUAAUUGCCGCAUCCCCACCCGCAACAGAUCUCCAGCCAGGCGGGAACGCUCUCGUUCUGCUGAUAGAAGACGAAGAGAACCUGACCGUCAGAGACUCUCACCUGUCAGGAUGCGUUCUCGUGAUGAUAUGGGCAGUGGGCCAAGGCCGACCCGCUCACCCAGAAGACGCACAAGCAGAUCACCUCUUUUUAGGCGCAGGUCAGUGGAGCGGUCGAGGCUGGGCUACCGGGCGCGCACACGCUUAGGAUCUCAGGAGCGUAGGAGGAGAAGCAGAGAGAAAGAUGAUAAGUUUAAGGGCAGUCUGUCUGAAGGCAUGAAAGCAGAGCAAGAUGAUUCAGAUGAAGAAGUUUUGGAGGAUUAUGACGUGGAUGAAGAAGACGAGGAAGCGUUGAUUGAGCAGAGGAGACUUCAACGCUUGGCAAUUGUGCAGAAAUAUAAGGGUGCAAAUGAGGACAGCAGUAAGUCAGAGCCUGGCAGUCCUCAUAGUAGCUCCCACAGUCGCUCACCCUCUCCAGAUGAUGUUCUAGAGCGAGUUGCAGCUGAUGUAAAGGCUUACGAGCAAGAGAACCUGGACACCUUCGAGGCCAACAUUAAGGCGAAACAUAAUCUGCUCACCCAGGAAAAAGAUGGAGUUAAUCCAAAGAAGCAAUCAGCUCCUGACAUGUUUACAGAGUCAGAUGACAUGUUCGCAGCAUACUUUGACAGUGCAAGAUUCCGUGCAGCAGGCAUUGGGAAGGACUUUAAGGAAAACCCCAGUCUCAGGGACAACUGGACAGAUGCUGAGGGCUAUUAUCGGGUCAACAUUGGAGAGACAUUGGACAAAAGAUAUGAUGUUUAUGGCUACACUGGGCAGGGCGUGUUCAGUAAUGUUAUCCGUGCAAGGGAUCUGGCUCGAGCUGGUCAAGAAGUUGCUGUGAAAAUCAUACGCAACAAUGAGCUCAUGCAAAAGACAGGCCUUAAAGAGCUGGAGUUCCUGAAGAAGCUGAAUGAUGCAGACCCUGAUGAUAAAUUCCACUGUGUGCGUCUCUUCAGGCACUUCUAUCACAAACAGCACCUGUGUUUGGUGUUUGAACCACUUAGUAUGAAUCUUCGGGAGGUCCUGAAGAAGUACGGCAAAGAUGUGGGGCUCCACAUCAAGGCAGUGCGCUCCUACAGCCAGCAGCUCUUCCUGGCCCUCAAACUCCUUAAACGUUGCAACAUUCUUCAUGCUGACAUCAAACCCGACAACAUCCUGGUGAAUGAGUCCAAGACCAUACUGAAGCUCUGUGACUUCGGCUCAGCUUCCCACAUAGCUGAAAAUGACAUCACACCUUACUUGGUCAGUCGAUUCUACAGAGCACCCGAGAUCAUCAUUGGAAAGCCAUAUGAUUAUGGAAUCGACAUGUGGUCUGUGGGUUGCACGCUGUACGAACUAUACACGGGGAAAAUACUUUUCCCUGGCAAGACCAAUAACCACAUGCUGAAACUUGCUAUGGACCUUAAAGGGAAAAUGCCUAACAAGAUGAUCAGAAAAGGCUUGUUUAAGGACCAACACUUUGAUCAAAACUUGAACUUCUUGUAUACGGAGGUAGAUAAAGUUACCGAACGAGAAAAAGUGACGGUGAUGAGCAGCAUCAACGCUACUAAGGACCUAUUGAAUGACAUGAUCGGUCGCCAGAGACUGCCAGAGGACCAACGGAAGAAGGUAGUUCAGCUUAAAGACCUGAUGGAUCAGAUACUUGUGCUCGACCCAGCCAAGCGCAUCAGCAUCAACCAGGCCCUGCAGCAUCCCUACAUCCAGGAGAGGAUGUGACACUCGUGCCCAUACUCCUGAGGAUACACAGUACCAAGUCCCGAAAAGUCUGCCAACAAAGUGACGGUUUUGUAUCUGCAGGCAUGACUGAAUAGAUGAAGAGACAUUUUAAUGUAUAAGUAAAAUUAAGUGUAUUUCUUUCUGAACACACAUUAUCUUGCUUUCAGUUUUAAAAUUUAUGAUGCCCUUAUAAAAAAAAAAGAAAGUGCCACCACUACCCCUUAAUUUUAUUUGAGGUACUCCACAAACACUAGGCUAAACAUAAUUUUCUUUUUUUUUUGUUUGUUUGUUUAGUUCUUUAAUUGAUGCAACCUGAAAGCAGCAUUUGCUGUAUCGCUGUAUCUGUAUGUGUACUGGUGUUCAAAUAGUCUGAGCCUCCCCUAACACUGUACGUGAUAAUGUGAGUUCAGGAUAAAUGCCGUCUAUAUCCGCAUCUCCCUCAGGUGCUAGAGCGACAGCGCCCACUGGUGCACGGGCCUGUAGGUGUGCGUCUGCUGAAAUCGGAGCUCUUGAGCCCUACCUGAGCCUGUCUGCAGGGAAGGCCUCCUCUGUAAAGGCAGGUUGUGUUCCUCUAUCAGUACACUGAAGAGACGAAGAAUGGUCUUAACCCAUCAUCCUUCCACAGAGCCAAAAUUUAUUCCAAAAAAGCAAAGUUUGCUUAAACAAGUCUGGAAAGGAAAUCCAAGGCACUCACUAUUGCUGUUAAGGGUAAGGGAAAAGGGGCAGUGUGAAAUUUUUGAUUUGAACAGGCACCUUCAGUGUACUGCCUCUGACAGUAAUGUAUUGUUCAGAAGCACUGAAUCCUGUGACUUCCACUGGAUAUGCAUUUGUUCUACCUAAUGCUCUCACAAGGGAUGCAUGUGUUCUAAAAAUGCUGUGCACUUGUAUGAGCUUUUUGUUGUCUACUUCUGCCUGUCUUCCUUUGUUCUGACGUGAUCGUGUUGUCUUUUGAUACAGGGAUAUUCCUCAUCUGCUCUAUGAAUCUGCUUGUUUUGAGCGGUAAUUCAUUCUUUACUUCAUAUUUGCUUUAUUGUUCUCAUUAAGACAGAACUAGCUCAUUGAACUUGUAUAUUAUCCAUAGCCCGCCUUGCAUGUCAAAAAUAGUUUGAAUAAUUGUACAUUUAUAAGUGUGUGUUAUAAAAAAAAAGUUUAAAUAAACAUGUUUGAUGUGGCGAAAAAAGUAAGAAAAAUAUGGUCAUAGACCUUCUGGUUUGUCUUGUGUGCACCAGGUGGCAGGUAAUUAUGGUUUAAAGAUACCAUACACUUUCGAUUUCUUUAGUUUUUAUGACACUAACUGCUGUUUAUGGUGUUUCUCCCACUGUUCCCUUGUGGUUGCUGAGAGAGAGAGAUUAUAUUCUCCAGCCAAAGGAGGCUCUUCUCUGGCACCAUCCUCCAGCCAGCCUCUGCUCUCAAAGAGACAAGACCUUCACAAGACCCCUUAUCCAGGUCACUCCUUAAAGGCAUGUGUAGCUCCAACAUAGCAUAGACAGAAAUGACCCAGUCUAACUGAAAUUGAGGGUGUUAAAAUUUUUGCUUUGUUCUUGACUUGUGCUUUCUCAGACCCAUAAGGCUACUUUGACACUACUCAGUAUUUGUCACGGUUUUCUUUACGUAGUGAGUAAGCAUAUUUUGCUAUUCGCAUAAAUGGACUCUAGUUUUGAGCUUUGUCUCAAACAAUUUUAGUUUUUACAUCUUUGAUGUCUGAAUUAUGAUUGGGGUUCAGCAAAAUAAUAGUCCUGUAAUGACUAUAACAUUGUAAUAGGUGUUAAUUUUAAAUAUUCAAGGCAGCUGAUGAUUGCGAAACACAUCAUCCCACAGAUUUCUUUUAAUGAUCUGAUAAACUCUUUGACAGAUUCAUGAGAAAAUCAACUCAAAAUUCUGAUACUAGUAUCUAGUAAAUCAUGAGCAAUUUCAUGCAUUUCUGUUUUUUUAAAGCAAUGCCCAUUGUGUCAUCUUAGUGAAAGCUAUAACACAUUUCACCUCUAAAACAAACCAGAUUGUAAUAGACUGAUAUUUCAUGCAUCGUUUCACAUUAUAGUGGCAUUGGUAAAUGACUUAUACCACACUGCGGAAAAAAGAUACUGGUCUAUUUGUUCUCUGUAUUUUAGGUGCUGUCCGUUAGAGAAGACUCUUAAAGGGAUUCACACCUGACCAAAGGUUUUUGCUUUAGAGAGUGAUCUUUACUAGUUUUUUUUCUUCACUCAACCCUUCAGCAAAAUGUGCAGUCAUUUGGUUUUAAUGAGUCUCAUUUGUCAGCCAUUAAACACAACCUGACCCAUUAUUCUGCAGGUAUACUUAUGUUAGAAAGUGUCACAACAACUUGGCUGGCACUAGUACAUAAAUAACUAAUGGUGGUUUCUGUGAACUGAGUAGGCUUUUGAUUUAAAGGGAAUCAUAAAAUCUGAAAUAAUUACAUCUAAAGAGCCAGCCUACGCCACCUACAGUCUCUUAGAGUUUUUAUUCAGCUGUAUUACAUUUAUAAGAACUUUUAUAAUUUUCUGAAACAUUAAUAAAUUGGUGGUAUAGCCAAAUAGAACAACUGAAAGGUAAUAUCUUUCUGUUUUUUACUGAGCCGUGUCUUUAUACAUGAUCUUCAACACUAACCUGAAUUUGUUUUUAUUUUAGGGUAAGUCGCAGUUUUCUUCCUGUACUGAUUACUAGACAAGCCUACAAAGAGGAUAAACUUGAGUAGUCACACACGCUUCAGCUGAAAUUCAUUUUUCAAGAAGCCUGUCAUCUGUCCACUUAUUUUCAGACAUCAGGAGUUUUCAAAUGAACUGUUUAAACAUUUGAUUAAUGUCCAUUCAACAGAUACACGGUGUGUAAUGACAGUACAAUCUAUAAAUAAAUAAAUAAAAUAUUUAUA